rnacentral:lncRNA from 1 species
UUGAAAGCUUCCAUAUCAAAACACAAGGGACGACUGGGCUCAACAUGAAGCCCAUGAUGCACAUAUAAUCAGCAAGAGGGAAUUUAGGCAUAGCUGGGCCAAGACAACGACCCAAUUGCACAACCUGAAAGAGGUUGCUCAAAAUACAUGCUGGGAGGGGGGUGGGGAAGGGGGGAGCUGCGCUCUAGAUCGAAUCCAAAUGAAGGAGUAGAGGUAGCUUAGACCAAAUAAGACUGGCACAGCUCAGAUGGCCUCAUUUUGGCCAACUCCAAAACCCCAGACACUGGGCAGUGGUAAACAAAACAAUCAGGCCCUGAUAAGGCCCAGCUAACAACAAUACACACAAAAUCAUACUAAGCAAGUUUUUGAGAAUCAUAAUACAUGAAUGAAAAUAUUACGGAUUUUAAAAUCAAUGUUACCAUUCAUGCUAAUAACAAAAUCUUAGAUUAUAAAAUUACUUGCUAACCUUAAUAAUGAUUCCACUAAACAUGAUAUUAACCACCACAAGAAGUCAAGUCUGAAAUUCACUCAAAGAAUUCCUCUAUAUCUAUCAUCACGCUUAACAGUUCAACAGAUGAAUUUACAUCCGAGUAACCCUUUGAAUAAAAAUCCUAAGUUAUUACAACUAUUAAGUGUAACAAGUUGUUAAACACUCAUGAAUAAGCUAAAACAACCACAAUAUUUAGAUAACCCAACUAUACUAAGUCCAUCUUCAACAGUAAUUUAUACCAGCUGAAGUAGUGUAAUGAACACUUGAAAAGAUGCAUAAUAAUCCAAUUUCAUAUCAACAAUUUACAAGUCCAUUUUAUCACUUCAAGAUUACGAAUAUACCUGGAAUAACAAGAGAAAACCAACAGAAACUUCAACAAAGAAAUCAAAAUAUCAGGAGCUCUUUAGGAAGCAGUAAACAAACAGUUAUCGACUAGCUACUACCAUGUCUUGAACCCAGAAUGCGAAAAAAUAAUUUACCCAAACUUUUAAGACCCAAAAAAUCAAAAGAACAACUUCAAUGUAACAAUAUUUGGAUGAUUUAUUUUUGUAUUCUUCUUUUAAUUUUGGGACAUAUAUAAGUGUAUAGUUUCAACCAUUUGUAGCUAUAGGUAUUCUGAUCUCUGCCCUCAAAAUCAAGGAGAGACCUUUAUAGAGGGGUUUUAGGGCAGCAAAAUCUGAUUCUUAACUUCACUGUUUACCCCUUCCCCAAUUUUUAUUUUUUUCACUUUAAACCCAGUAUUUUAAAUCUUCUUGUUAAAACCAACACAUUCCCCCACUUUUCUAGCAUCUUCCUAGGCAGUUAUAAAAGAUUAUUUCAAUAACAAUACCCUAAAUACCCUUCAAAUGUCUGUUAUUUACAUUCAGAAAAAUCUCUAAUUGGGCUAGACCACAACAUGCUUGAACUCUUGCCCCUUUCUUUUGAGCUUCUGAACUAUGAAGCUCAAUUUCUGGUCCAAAAACCACAACCCACAAACAACCAAACCAACAGAGUUUUGAAACUCUUGGCAUGAAAAUUCUAACGAAGUAAAACAAAAAGAGAAUUGAGCAACAGGCAAGCAUGAAAUCAAAGUACUAAAAAGAAUCUGCUAACUACAUUAUUAGGCUAAUAUCCCUACAAACUAAUAUGACUUAAUCUAACAUACAAAUAGAAAUCGAUUUGAACUCAUAAAGAAGAAGAAAGAAAAAACAAAAAAAAAAACAAAAAAUAAAAGCAAGUAAAUAAUUAACAAGGAGAAGAAGAAGAGAUUGACUGACCAAACGGAAGCAAUAGCCAAAAAUCGCACAUGAACGAUAUGGCCACUCAAACUGCUUCAUCAAAGCCACUCAAUCUAACGAGCACCAUUUGUUAAGAAUACUCUGUCAAAGCAAGUUUCAGGCCUGGUGAGCAGAAACCUUCACUACAAACCCAACCCCAAAAUUUGGUUAAACUCUAGAUUCCAAAUUUGAAAAACUCUAGGGUUCGUUUGGGAAAAAUUCCAAGAGUUUUGGGUUUGGGGAAGCCUGGGGACUCUAGGAUGUUAAUUUGGUCGGGUUUGGGUGAAUUUGGGUUUCGGAAUCUAAUUUUGGAUCUAAAAUCCUAGGAGCUUGGUGAUGGUUUGAAGGAAAUGGGUUAGGGAUUUGGGAUGAGGGGAUGGAGGGGUGUUACUAUAGGGCUGAUCAGGGUUGUGCCACCGGUGAAGAUGGCAGAGGUUUUGGGGGCGGAGGGCUCUAGGGUUUCUAGUUGUUUGGGACGAAGAUGGGAGGUAGGAGGUUGGACUGGGGGAGGGGGGAUGAGUUAAUUAUGAAACUUAAAUACAAGUGAACCCCCCAGUUCUUAACCGUUCGAUGAGUGGAAGUCAACGGCUAGGAUAAAAAGCCUCAAAAUGGCGUUGUUUGGUUAGGACUUGGGAUUGGACUAGAUAAUUAGGGAUUGGGCCUGGGCGGGUUGGAUCAAAAAUAAAGAUUGGGAUCCUGUAUUUUUUCAUUACAACAACCCUAUUUCUCUUUCCCUCUCUGUUCC